AAAACUUCGCUCGUGAAUUGUUCGUGUUAAAAGUAUGAGAGCUCCAAAACCUGGGGAGAGAGUGAUACCCAUGACUGGAUCACCGCUGACCAAUGAUGUUGCGCCCUUGGACAACAAUGCUCCGAAGGGCAUCAUAGUAUUAACAGGUGGUAAGCAAUGUGCGAGGUAGAUUACAUUGACAUGAAAGGUUGAAGAUUUUCAAAUGAUUUUGGAAAGGUUACGUGCCCAACAACCCUCUAAGAAAGGAACAUUUUCAUUGAUGAACAAACAAUAAUGUCUCGGACUGAUUAUCGAAGCACAUCAUUGUUAGAUGAUGCAAAACGCCAAGUUCUUCUCUGGUUAUGUCAGUUUUAAAAGCACUUCAACAACCUGCUCCAGUGGAUGUUUCAAGUGCAAAGAAAAUUGAGGUAGAUAAGAAGAAAGAAGCAUGUGUUAGUACGACAAAUACACGACGUACUUUAAAAGUUAUUAAACAUGAGAAAACACGUAUGUUGUUUCAUUUUAUGUAAUACACAUGUGUUUGCUUUUAACUUUGUGAGCAAUUAUUCGUUUUUUCAAUUUUUUCGUAAGAGAUAUUUUAAUUUUAACAUGAAUAUAUUUACAUCAUCGAGAUGCGUUAGAAACGCGUUCAAUUUCAUCACCUUGUUAGUUAUUCAGAGAUGAAAUGUAAUGUGGAGUUACGACAGUCAUUAGUAUUCUUUAACCUCAUUAAUGUUUUCUAUUUAGAGGAUACUAAUAAGGAAGUGAACAAUAAAAAACAAUAUCUUGUUAGUAUUCUCUAUAUAUGGAUUAAAAAUGAGAUUUAGUGAAUACCAUUAA